rnacentral:antisense_RNA from 1 species
GUGGGAGGGGGCUUGCCCCCGAUGGCGGUGGACCAGUCAAUGAAUCUGUUGACUGACACUCCUUCAUCGGGAGCAAGCCCCCUCCCAC